rnacentral:rRNA from 1 species
GAUUCCCCUAGUAACUGCGAGUGAAGCGGGAAAAGCUCAAAUUUAAAAUCUGGCAGUCUUCGAUUGUCCGAGUUGUAAUCUAGAGAAGUGUUAUCCGCGCUGGACCGUGUACAAGUCUCCUGGAAUGGAGCGUCAUAGAGGGUGAGAAUCCCGUCUUUGACACGGACUGCCAGGGCUUUGUGAUGCGCUCUCAAAGAGUCGAGUUGUUUGGGAAUGCAGCUCAAAAUGGGUGGUAAAUUCCAUCUAAAGCUAAAUAUUGGCGAGAGACCGAUAGCGAACAAGUACCGUGAGGGAAAGAUGAAAAGAACUUUGGAAAGAGAGUUAAACAGUACGUGAAAUUGCUGAAAGGGAAACGCUUGAAGUCAGUCGCGUUGUCUGGGAAUCAACCUUGCUUUUGCUGGGCGUACUUUCCAGAUAAUGGGUCAGCAUCAAUUUUGAUCGUUGGAUAAAGUCAGAAGGAAUGUGGCAUCUUCGGAUGUGUUAUAGCCUUUUGUCGUAUACAACGGUUGGGAUUGAGGAACUCAGCACGCCGCAAGGCCGGGUACUUGUACCACGUUCGUGCUUAGGAUGCUGGCAUAAUGGCUUUAAUCGACCCGUCUUGAAACACGGACCAAGGAGUCUAACAUGCCUGCGAGUAUUUGGGUGGAAAACCCGAGUGCGCAAUGAAAGUGAAAGUUGAGAUCCCUGUCAUGGGGAGCAUCGACGCCCGGACCAGACCUUUUGUGACGGAUCUGCGGUAGAGCAUGUAUGUUGGGACCCGAAAGAUGGUGAACUAUGCCUGAAUAGGGUGAAGCCAGAGGAAACUCUGGUGGAGGCUCGUAGCGAUUCUGACGUGCAAAUCGAUCGUCAAAUUUGGGUAUAGGGGCGAAAGACUAAUCGAACCAUC